CGAGGCAGUUGGAGGAACGUGCUGAGAUUCUUUAUCAGAUCUGAAGACAUCCAAGAAGCAGAGCCAUAAAAGUGCAUCUUUCAGAGGGACCAGGAAACAACAGCAGGAAGCAACACUGUCAGAAAAAUGCUACAGUUCCUCCAAGUUCUCGGACCAUCUCUGCGCCUCUGAACGUUGUUGAUUUGCAGGAGCAAUUUCCCGAGGUCUGCUGACCUUCUGCGAAUACGAGAUGUUCUCCUCUCCUACGUUCUCCUACAGCCAGUGUUUUCUGGUAAUUUGGCUGUGAUUUGAAUACUGCACAGCCUCCAGGGGAAGCAUGAGACGGACGGACGCACCGGAGUGGACUCAUCACUGUGUCCUGCUGUACACAUGCAGAGAGUUUAGAGCGGACAGUAAACGUGAUGGAUGCUGUGUUUAGCGAACAGGAUGGACACCAAAUGGAACGUGAUCUGAUCUAAGCAGAGUUUCUCCAAACACACUUAUCUAAAGCUGUACUCUCUCAUCGGGGUAAAGUGGCAGAUCUAUGAAGCAGAUGGUCUCCAGAUAAAUUGUGAUCAGUGGCAUCAAGCGGAGGACAGGAAAUGAUUUCCAUCUAAAGUCAUUAUCCUUAUCUGGUUAUUCAGGACUUCCUGCAUCAUUACUCCUUUACACUCAGACUUGUUGAGUCAUUCUGUACACACGCGGCUAAUUAUUCUGUCUCCUGAGGAUUAGCUUUAACACCUAACCUUACAAAGUAACAUGAUAUAAAUGUAAUGUUUAUGAUGUAACUGUGGUGUUUAUGAUGCAACUGUAAUGUUUAUGA